rnacentral:rRNA from 1 species
UACGUAGGGGGCAAGCGUUGUCCGGAAUCAUUGGGCGUAAAGCGCGUGUAGGCGGCUGGGUAAGUCCGCUCUGAAAGCCCGGGGCUCAACCCCGGGAGGCGGGUGGAUACUGCUCAGCUCGAGUCCGGAAGAGGAGUGUGGAAUUCCUGGUGUAGCGGUGAAAUGCGUAGAUAUCAGGAGGAACACCGGUGGCGAAGGCGGCCCUCUGGACGGUGACUGACGCUGAGGCGCGACAGCGUGGGGAGCAAACAGG